AUUUCGUGCUGCAGGUAUUUUCUUAGCAUAUCCUUAUACCUUUCUCAUGUAUCGUAUAAUGAUUCAGACUCCAAUUGAAGAAAAGAAGAGAUAUCACUUCUGACUUU